rnacentral:rRNA from 1 species
UACGAAGGGGGCUAGCGUUGUUCGGAAUCACUGGGCGUAAAGCGCACGUAGGCGGAUCUUUAAGUCAGGGGUGAAAUCCCGAGGCUCAACCUCGGAACUGCCUUUGAUACUGGGGAUCUCGAGUCCGGGAGAGGUGAGUGGAACUGCGAGUGUAGAGGUGAAAUUCGUAGAUAUUCGCAAGAACACCAGUGGCGGAGGCGGCUCACUGGCCCGGAACUGACGCUGAGGUGCGAAAGCGUGGGGAGCAAACAGG